rnacentral:rRNA from 1 species
CCUACGGGGGGCUGCAGUGGGGAAUAUUGGACAAUGGGCGAAAGCCUGAUCCAGCCAUGCCGCGUGUGUGAAGAAGGCCUUCGGGUUGUAAAGCACUUUCAGUGGGGAAGAAAGCCUUGGGGCUAAUACCCUCGAGGAAGGACAUCACCCACAGAAGAAGCACCGGCUAACUCCGUGCCAGCAGCCGCGGUAAUACGGAGGGUGCGAGCGUUAAUCGGAAUUACUGGGCGUAAAGCGCGCGUAGGCGGUCUGAUAAGCCGGUUGUGAAAGCCCCGGGCUCAACCUGGGAACGGCAUCCGGAACUGUCAGGCUGGAGUGCAGGAGAGGAAGGUAGAAUUCCCGGUGUAGCGGUGAAAUGCGUAGAGAUCGGGAGGAAUACCAGUGGCGAAGGCGGCCUUCUGGACUGACACUGACGCUGAGGUGCGAAAGCGUGGGUAGCAAACAGGAUUAGAUACCCCUGUAGUC